GUGGAUGCAAUAGUAUAGAGGUUCAAAUGUCUUGGGUGCAGUUUGCGGGUGCAAAUGUACGUGGGUUCAAAUGUGCUGUCACCAAUAAGGACUGAUUGCGAAGUACAACUACAUUGGUCUGGAACGGUUCCAUUUUCCAGUGCAUUCAAGUACAGAAUUGAGUACGCAUUACCAAAAUUACGUCCGAGGUGCAAUCAACAGGAUUAAGUGAGUGUUUUUGUUUUAGUAUAUGUGCAAAAACAAUGCUCUUUAAUCACAGCCUAAUAUUACACAUUUUCAACUUUGCUACGUUCCUGCGUAAAAAUACCGGUAAGGAAUCAAGUUUGAUUGCAAGAUGUGGAUUUACUCUACUGAUUAGUUACGUACACUGAAAACCUAUGAAAACGAAUAAUAAUUGAAC